GUGGGAGGAAGAGAGGCAUGCGCUAUAGAUGUAGGCGAACAAUGGUCCUUGGAAAUUAUUAGUACUCUACAAAAUGUCUGUCCCCUAUGAUGCCUACAAUGAGCGAUAGAGGGUGGAAGGAAGGGAGAGCGGAGGAAGGAAGAUGGGGAUAUAUGUAGAGAGAGGGAGAUAGGAGGAAGGGAGAUGGGCAUAUAUGUAUAGAGAGGAAGAUCAGAGAGGGAGGGGAGAUUUACAGGACGAUUGUCGUUGAGCCACUCAAAUAGUCAAAUAUGUAUGUCUCUGUUGCAUCGCACGGGCAAUUAACUAUAGAAAAAAUCAAGGCUAUUUUUAAAGUGACAUUUAUUCAGCGUGUUCCAACCUUUACAUGCCUUAAUUAUAGAAUAAUCUAAUAUUAUGAUUUCUCCAGUAAGCAGUAUACUAUAUACUUAACUGGGACUUUGAAUUUGUGCUUUAGGAAAAUUUGAAUAGACCUCGUCCACGCCGAUAAUUUCCUGGUACAUCAGGUUGAACAAUUUUGUUUAUGUUGUGAGUGGUCAAUAUUCCUUACCGCUGGCCACAUAUCUCACUUGUGCUGGUCCCCUAGAAUAUGCUAAUGUUUAGUUUCCAAUUUUUCAACUAUCAAAUAUCAGUGGACUUUACAUGGUUUCUUGCAAAAAAAAAGACUCAUAUGGCCCGAGUUUGUUUGCUCAGGAGCAUUCUUUCAUAGAUUAUAAUAGUCAGUGGCUUAAAAGUAUUGUCAUUGCUACAAACAUAAAACUGAUGAAAGAAGAACAUAUUUGUACCUUAUUGCCGGCUGACUAUACACACAAGAACCUCGACACUCUCAUUACUGUGUUAUAUAUUUAGUUGCAAUAGUAUUUGAUUUUUCAUGAAGCAAUAUGCUUACUGUUUCUUCAUUCAGUUUCGUGUUUCAAUGACGCGUGGAGGACGACGGUCACGAGCGCAUUGUCGCAAGCUCACAGGAGGGAGGCACACAUCUCAUCCAAUAUAAAAGCACGCUCCGAAGAAUCCCUAACCCUCCAUGGAGCCAUUGCUAGGGGGCGUCGAGAUCAACGCCACCCAUCACGACCACCGAGAUGUAGAGGGGCUUUGUGACUGAGCUGGUGAAUAAAAUGUCAGUGGUGGAAACGGACAUGUUAUAGAAGAUGUUGAGGGUGGCACCGGAGUUAAUGGCCAAAUGGGGUUCCUCGGCACCGAAGAGAAGGAUGCUGCAGCGACACGUACUGGGUUCCAUUUCCAACCAGAGAAGAACUUAUGAAUGGCACUAGAAAGGAGACGAUCCUAUCCACUAUCACAAUGAAAGAAGAGAAACAAUUCCUUGCAGUCAUCUAUAAGCCUAUUCUUUAAUCCGUUCAAUUACAGAGUUUAUGAUUAUGUAAAUGGAGUAUGGGAUCUGAGAAGAAAAAAAAGUUGCAUCCGAUUCAAGGAAGAUAAUGGACAAGUGCAUUGGUAUGAACAGGUCGUCGACUUUGACAGAAAAUGCAUACAUAUUAUCAGUUUUCCUGCUGAGUUGUACUAUUAUGCUACAGAAUACACAUCAGCUAUUAUGCUACAGAAUACACAUAAUUAGUUACAGAUCAGUAGGCUACUCAUCUGUGAGUUCUUCCUUAAUGGAGGAUAUGGUAUAGGUAAUAGUGAGUGGUGUUCUAGCUUAUGCACUAUUUCCCCCUGGCCCGAGUUCCACACCAUAACAUGCCGCCGCCCCAGCCGCCGCGUCUGCCACGGCGCCGACGCCUCCCUGGCUCGCGGGACAUCCCCUCUAUAUAUUGUAAUAGACUCCCAUGAAUACAAUUGAGUUGCAUCCUAUAAUCUUCUACAUGCGUCAUCCGGUUUUAAUGGACAGGUUCCAGCAAAAAAUGUCACGCUAUAGGGAAAGCGAGUGGGAAGGGUGUGUUGUAGGGUGGAAUUCUUGUGUUGGAACAACGUGUUGGAGAUAACAUGGUGAAUAGUCCGUACAACUACAUUUCUUCCCCACAUAUGAGUUGGAUUUGGGGGAUUGCAGACGGUUGAAUUUGGGGAGUCUGCUGGGCACCCAUUUGAACACGUCCGAACGUAUGAGGAAGAAAUGAGCUUCGACUUGUUUAAUAUUGUACAAAAUAUAUUUGCUGCUAAUAAUGAGACAAGUUCUGAUUUGUAAAUGCAAUAUUCUUCCAUGUAUACAGAAUUACAGAUUGAAUGAAAUAUAAGCCAAAGUUGAAUCUCAAGCCUUAAUUUACACUAAAAAAAUAAUAUAGGUUUGAUAUAUGUGUAGAAUAGGAUAUUUUUCCUUGAGAAUCAACUAGGUGAGGUGGUCGUUAUCGACAUCCUUGUGAAAGUUCGCAUGAUCUUAGCACGAACC